rnacentral:rRNA from 1 species
UACAGGGGGGGCAAGCGUUGUUCGGAAUUACUGGGCGUAAAGGGCUCGUAGGUGGCCAACUAAGUCAGACGUGAAAUCCCUCAGCUUAACUGGGGAACUGCGUCUGAUACUGGAUGGCUUGAAUUCGGGAGAGGGAUGCAGAAUUCCAGGUGUAGCGGUGAAAUGCGUAGAUAUCUGGAGGAAUACCGGUGGCGAAGGCGGCAUCCUGGACCGAGAUUGACACUGAAAAGCGAAAGCCAGGGGAGCAAACGGG